UUUUUUAUGAUAACACAUAUUUUAAGCUUCGUAGUCUAACAUACAGUGAUGGUGUAGAUGAAUAUGCAGUCAGCAGAUUCCUCUCUGAAGUUUUUACUAAUGAAUUGGAUUCACAUGGGAAAAUUUGCUCUUUAGUCAAAGAGCCUGCAUCGCGUAAAUUUGAUAUGAAAAAAGAGGUGAUGCUGACCAUUGUAAGACAUUUGGAGUUAGGUGAA